UCUUUUGUGUAUAAAUGUUUGUAUUCUCUCCUAUUGUGAAUAAGAAAAGAUAAUUCCUAGAAUAUUCUCACAACAUAUGCCAACUAUUACAUCAACUGCCACCCAAUUCUUCAACAUAUUAAUCACCUAGCUAAUGAAAUUCAGGAACAUGGCGGGUUGGCGGGGUUCUUGCUGUUUCUCGUGCUUUUGGAGACAAAUUACUCAAGCCUUAUGUUGUAGCUGAACCAGAAAUUCAGGAGGAAGAAAUUGACGGUGUGGAGUUUAUAAUCAUUGCAAGUGAUGGGCUCUGGAAUGUACUGUCAAAUAAGGAUGCGGUGGGUAUUGUGCAGGAAAUAACAGACGCAGAAGCUGCAUGUAGGAAACUUGUGCAAGAAUCGUAUGCAAGGGGCAGUUCCGACAACAUUACUUGCAUUGUUGUACGGUUUGAGAACCGUUGAUACCUCUAAAUCUAAUGUUGUUUUCCAAAUCCAUAGGUAAUGGUGGUGGUUGAUCUAAUAGUGAUAACCAAAUUGACUUUGGGUUACCUGUUGUUGCUUCCAAUUUUUAGAGUGAUAUGUCAAGAGUUGAUUGAUGGAUGGGAAAGAGACAUGCAUUUUGAAGACAGGUGAUCUGUAAAGUUACUAGUAACAAAAUAAAGGUGGAGGGUAAAUGGGAAAAGCCUACGCAUAUUUCAGGAUAUGAUUUUUUUCUUAUCUUCUAUAUUGGUUUCGUUUGUUCUUCACGGCAACGACUCUUGCCAUGGUUAGAACUUACCAGGUUAAUUGUUGCAUACGAUACCGUUUUGAUAGACUAAAAUCUCACCUGAUAAGUAAUUGACAAUGUUGAA